UUCGGCCAUGGGCUUAACUGAGGGUAGACAUAGAAUCGGACAGAUGGAUAUUGAGGUGCGCCGUGGUCGAGCUUAUGUCGCUAAUACUGAUACUCUAUGCGGAAGCAUCGCACCGAUGGAUGAAUGCAUACAGUUUUUUCCAAAAAAGCUUCAAACUGCUCAAUUGAAUACGCUUUAGAGGCUGCAUCAUUACAUCCUGCCAAAUGUUUAGGCAUUGAAGACCAGAAGGGCACGCUUAAAUAUGGAGCUGAUGCAGAUUUCGUUAUUUUGGAUGAUUCAUUGAAUGUACUGUCCACAUGGAUUGCCGGAGAUUGCGUUUAUGAGAACGAGUCUUUGUUAUCCCCAAAACUUGAUGCUACUUAUAGAACGAAUAACAUCGUAUAAAAUUAUUAGAAUGUUAGGUUGUUGUAGACCAAUGACAAUUUGCCGUAUAAUCUAAGUCAACCAUUCCGAAGUUAAUAUUAUUAGCGCAACAAAAAAAAACAAUUUCAGUUGAAAUAAAUUUGAAUCGUUUUUACAAAA